ensembl:miRNA MIR411A microRNA mir-411a
CCCCAGCCUCUGUCCUCGGCGUCCCUGUGUGGUACUCGGAGAGAUAGUAGACCGUAUAGCGUACGCUUUAUCUGUGACGUAUGUAACACGGUCCACUAACCCUCAGUAUCAAAUCCGUCCUCGAGGC